rnacentral:rRNA from 1 species
CCUACGGGUGGCUGCAGUGAGGGAUCUUCGGCAAUGGGGGCAACCCUGACCGAGCAACGCCGCGUGUGGGACGACGGCCUUCGGGUUGUAAACCACUUUUCUUGGGGACGAGACAGGACGGUACCUGAGGAAGAAGUCUCGGCUAACUACGUGCCAGCAGCCGCGGUAAUACGUAGGAGACGAGCGUUGUCCGGAGUUACUGGGCGUAAAGGGUGCGCAGGCGGCCAUGCGCGUCGCGAGUGAAAUCUCCCGGCUCAACUGGGAGGGUGGUCGCGAGACGGCAUGGCUUGAGGCUCGGUGAGGGGCGUGGAAUUCCGGGUGGAGCGGUGAAAUGCGUAGAGAUCCGGAGGAACACCAACGGCGAAGGCAGCGCCCUGGACGAGACCUGACGCUCAGGCACGAAAGCUCGGGGAGCGAACAGGAUUAGAUACCCC